GGGCAUCUACGGUCUUGUUAAGACGCAGCUGGAGGACAUUAUACUAAGUGAAAGAAGCCAGGCACAGAAGGACAAAUACUGUAUUAUUCCACUUAUAUGAGAAUGGGCAGCCAGCAUGGUGGAAAAGAAUGUGGAUUUAGCAGAAGUCAGGUAUGGCUUUACUCUAUCCACCCUUUACUUGUGGUUUGGGGAUGAGAAAAAAUAAGUGAUAUGCAAAAACUUACUUCCCUCAUUUGUAAAAUGGUUAAGAUAAUACCUACACUACAGGAUUUUCAGAAGGGUUAGAAAUAAUAUUUCAGAGCAUGCAAUAGAGUGUCUGGAAAAUAGCUGGCCUGCAAUAAAGGGUAAUCAGUAUUAUUUUACGUGUUAAUUUCCUCUAUCAUCAACCCUGUGAAGAUGAGGAUGCAGUGGUGCCUCAGCAGGCACCAGGUAUCAUAAGCGAGUGCUGCAUAAGAUGGCAUUUUACUAUGACAGAUGCUGUGCUAAUAGGAAACGUAGUAACAGCAGAGGUAGGACUAUUAGAGAUUAUCUAGUGCUGUUCCUGCGGAAAGCUCAGGCUGUACACGGAUGAAGGACAUCAUAGUGCAGUUUGUGAAAAGAAAACAAAAUUUAGGGAGCUGCUUAUUGCAUGAUUCUCAGGACAGCUUCAUCCAGACACUGGCAAUGGUAAGAUUUCAACUGUUUUCUUUGGAAAUUUUUGUUGUGGGGGAUGGGCACAGAGUAUAAUUAGUCAAGUAUGGUUCUCACCCAAGAAAGCUUCAAUGUGAAAAAAUCAAGUGGGGUGUGUGUGUGUGUGUGUGUGUGUGUGUUCUGUGAAUAUAUUAAUAUAACUCUGUGUGUGUCUUGAUGAAGCUUAGGAGAGCUUCUUGGCAGCAGAGCAAGGAGAAGUCAUAAACCCAGCCUUCCGUAAUGUACUAGGUAGACGUUCACUGGAUUGAGUUUGUUCUACUUUUGUUCUUUCUAGGCUCAUAAACUGAAUAGAGCUGAAGGAAGUCUGGAGAACGUUCAGAGAUGAGUCCAGAUAGUGUCACAGUUGGAAAAUAAGUCCUAAAAGUAAUAUGUAGGUAAUAGUAAACAUGGAAAGAAGUGAGCUAACUGGAGAUGGUGACAUCUUUAAUCGCAUGAACUUCUUAGACACCAGUAACCUGAUGUUCUCCAAUUUUCCUAGAGAUAUUAAAUAAAAGUGGAGAGUUCAAGCA
rnacentral:lncRNA from 1 species